CGUUUGCAGGAAUGGCGCACUUCGCGGGACGUGGCGUUAUAUCCUGUGUUAUCGGUGCUGGUGAGUGUGUGCGCGGUGCAGCAAGCGGUGCCCUGCCUUGCCUGCUGCUUGGGGGAGCGAUGCAGAGUGGUUCCUGAAUGUGCCUCUGUCGUCAUAGUUAUUGAAGCCUGCAUGGUAUUAAGCUUCAAGCUCAUAACGCCAACCACGUGGAUCCUACUAAUCCUUUCUUAGCGUCCACGAUACGCCCGCUUGCUUCAAGCUACCCACGGUCUCCAAUCCACAGCUUGUGCAGCGUAACCGCCACAAUGUCAGCUUGCUAUAUUAUUUGUCAGUCAGUCAUAAUUAUACAUCUGACCAUUGUCUCAAAGUAUUCAUUUGCCUGUACUUCAGAUCCUUGGAUAUCACGUUUGUUUCCCCUUCUGUAAUCAAUAAACUGUUGUUAUUUGAAGCCUUGUCUCCACAUAUUCCAUCCAUCACAAGAGUAACGGAGUGCACAUAGUGUAUACAUUCAACUUUAGCAUCAAUAUAAGCUGUGGGAGUAUUCAGUAGCUGUACGGGACUUUUGUUUGUAAAAGGCUGAAGACGAGAGUGAUGUUUCUGUCACGGUAGCUCGGUAAGUGGCUCACCUUAGAUUAUGAGAGCGAAAAGUUUCAGAGAGAAACUCAUCCAAAUAUAACACAAACAUUUUAUUUGAGUUCAUAUCACGUAAUGCUGUCUUAUUUUUGGCCUGCAGUAUGUGCCAGCCCUCAUUUUCCAUUGCUCACGGCGGCAGGGCUAAUACUGUAUCGAAAGUUUUGAAAUGCUGUUUCAAAAGGAGUUCGCUUCAAUCCUUAGAUGGUGAAAGCUAUUAGGGUUAUUGUUUUAUAAUCCAAAAUUCGAGUGACUUUAAAGAUCAAGGUGCCGAGACAAUAAUAACCUUCACUCGAAUUUGAGAUUAAAAAUAGUAAUACAAAAGGUAUAUGUUCUUUUUAUUCUGUAAUACAAAGGUUACUAUUCAGUACUUCAUGUUCCGAUGUUGUCGGUAUACAUUACUUAUGCCAGACAAGUGUUUACGAAAGGUGAAUUAUUAUGCGUUUCAUCGUCUGUCAAGAAUACGCAAGUGUGGGGAAGUAUGGGCGCGUUAAAGAGGUCAUUUUUUUUUUUUGUGCUCAUUUGCAAGAAUAUUAUGCGGCGUUGGAAAAGAUGCACUGCACGCCGCUGCUUUCCCACUCAUUACCAUUAUGACUGCAAAGCGAUGCAGGAACAGGUAAAAAUAAACGGAACUUGAGAAGUGAGAGUUCUUUUCACCGUGUGUGUGUGUGUGUGUGUGUGUGUGUGUGUGUGUGUGUGUGUGUGUGUGUGUGUGUGUGUGUGUGUUUGAUUGUUUGUUUGUUUGUUUGUUUGCACUCGCAUUUAUCCACUCUUAUUCUCUUAAGUUUGUAGUACACAGUCUGAACUACACAAGUCAGAUCCUGUCUCUACAAUCCGGCCUUACCUUCUCUGUGUGUGUGUGUGUGUGUGUGUGUGUGUCGGGGGUCAGUGGUGCGGGGCGUGACUCAGCGGUCAUAAGAACCCCUAUAUUAGUGUGUAAGGGGAAUGGACGCAGGUGUCCCGGCGAGGCGCGGCCUUCCACCCAGGAGCCCCGUCCGCCCGGGUGUUUAUUGUAAUGACCGCCUCAUUACCGGGAGGGUUAAUGCGCCGCGCGGGGCGGUGGGCGGCGCAUUAUCACGGUUUUGCUGAUUCCCUUGAUCUUAUCACACUCCUUCCCUCCCGCCCUCUCUUUUUAACCACCUGUUUCUCUCUCUCUCUCUCUCUCUCUCUCUCUCUCUCUCUCUCUCUCUCUC